ACAGUCUGUAAUGCAAAAUGUCAAAUCUUCUUGUGCUUGUGUGUAUGUAAAGAAAAAAUCAAUUUGUACCUCCUGCUGUGCUACGAGCGCUUCUUUACAGGCAAUGCUAUACAUUUCCAUUGUUCUCUUAAGUUCUAAUUUCAGUCUCCUCAUUUCAGCCUCCAUAUCAUCCUAUAAUUUCAUCACAUACCCACACAGCAAUCAGUAAAAGGCCAAUAUAAUCAUUUCAUAGCUGAUUACUUAUCCAUACCAAGAUGUACUCGAGGCCUAUUAGGAUUGGAUGAAACAUGAUAUAUUAAAGAAAGUUAAAAGGAAAUCUAGUGGUAUAAUCAUAUAUCAUUCAUAAAGACUGCAAGAUGAGUGGCCUUGGCACGUUACUCACUUCUUGAUCUUAAGAAAAUACAUAUUGAAAAACUACCUUCUAAUGAAAACUAUCCAAAUUACAAAGUUCUCUAAAGGCCGCUUAAAAGUGCAAGAACUACUGAUAAAUGCACCCUGCAUGGGUAAUACAGGAAGUACAAUGUACAGCUCAAUCUUCCAUACCGUGACAUGUGGUGUUAAAAGUCCAUUUCCAUCUGAUGAGAAGGAUUCCAAAGGAGAGCUAAUAUCUAUAGACCCCCUUCGGUUCUGCAGUAACUCAAAGCUGUAGUUCCCGUCUAUCUCUGAGCUGAGUGCUACCCCAGGGCUGGACAUCCCUGAAUCAGAGCCGUCGUAUAACAAACAGAAUAUAUGGUUUGGACUUGGUCUUUCAGAGCUUACAAAGGAUACGUCAGUACCUGGAAGGGGAUUUUCCUUAUGUGACUUGCUAUUCAAAUUUCUCCCAGUUACUGGUGACCUGAUAUAACCGUGCCAAGAAUAAAUUGAAAAAGCAAAAUGAAUAAACUUGAAGGAAUUUUCUGAGAAGUAUGCACUGCCACUGACCUGAAAGAUUCAGUUUCAUCCUCUAAUUUACUUUUCACACCAGUGGAUAGCUUUUCAUGUGCUGAUAGAAACCUCUUAGUUUGACUUGAUGCUUGCUUGAUUAUGCUUGCUAGGAAGGGAAAUGGCUGGAGCAGGACGAGAAGCUGAUCGCAUUGUUUGAAUCUUUUCUUUAGCGACAACAUAGACAGAACAGAAAUCCGGUGCCCCUUUUGCCACCGUUCCUGGAAUAUCAGCUACCUUGAAUUUUCUGAUGACAAUAAAAAAAAUUGUUUGGGAAUUGAUAUGCAUUCAUUCGUAUAGGGAUGCUAGAAACAUGAGGACUUAUUUAUGCUACUGAAUCCUAAACAAAAUUUUCAACUUAAUUGGAAGCACGUGAGGUAAAAUUAAUGUGAAUAUUUCUUAGCAUUACAAAACCAUAUCAAAUUGAAAUAUGACAUAAUUGCAAGUUCUCUUUCCUCU